ensembl:lncRNA
CAGAAUUUAAUUUCCUUCUCAGUCCUCUCUUUACCUGCCUUUAUUCAUAUGAUAGCUGUUAUUAAAUACACACUGGAGUGUAUGUAAAAUAUGAAUGAAGGUACAUUUCUCUAUAUUCGAUGCUAAAGUGCAUUUCUUUUUCUAUACAAAUGAAUUCUGCUGUACUGGAAAAAUAUUUAUUUUUAAAGAACAAUUAUCUUCGAUUGUAAUGUCAGUUGAACUUAUAACUGUGCCGAUGAUUAUCAAAGUUGGCUCUCCACAGUACCUAUUCCAGAAGUGGUCAGAAUUUUGAUAUAGUGCACUGUUAAAAUUAUCUUUUCUGUCUGGAAAUACGAUUUUUCUCUACUUUGCUUUUAUUCCAUCCAUAACAAUUUACAUACUAUUAGUUCUGGUUAUUUGGGAUCUAUGUUUUUUCAUUAUCUUUGUUCUUUUGAGUGACUAUUCACUAUGGGUUUUUUUGUUUGUUUUUUUAAAGGAGACAUGAUGACUCCUGUAGAAGAGUCAGUAUUACUAAGGGAAAAUGUGUGUUCCCUGACAGUUGGGCAAUGGCUAAAGGUUGCUAGCAGUCGCUAGGUGAAGUUGGCUGCGAAGAGGUAUGUGGUGCUGGACUGAAAAUCAGUGCAAUUGCUUUGGUCAUUAGCGGGUUACCUGGGUUGUCUGCAGUUUGCAUGAAAGAUGCUGGCUUGUCUGGAAAACUCAACAACAGCAGCUAGUGUUUCAAAAGGCUUAACUUCAACUUUGAAUAUUAAGGUGUCUGUUUUGCUUUUUUCUGUUUCACUAUAGCUCAGCGAGUGAUUAUAAACUAGCUGAAAACAUUUUGCCAUCUUUCAUGCAAAUUUUGGACAACAAUGGCAAUCUACUAAUGACCAAAGCAAUUACAAGGAGGUUUUUGCACCCUUGUUUCACCUAGUUUUGCCUAGUGUAAACUAGCAACCUCCAGCAACCAUUUGUCAACUGGUUAGAGAAUACACAUUUUUUUCCCUUAGCAUUGAUGCCAGGGGGUCACCAACCAGUGCACACGUCAUACUUUCUCAAAGUGGAAAGCGGCUACAGUGCCAUGAAAAAGUAGAACAUCAAACAAAUUUUAAUAUUAGACAAACACAACCCAAGUAAAUGCAAAACUC